CUUGGAACAGAUGGACCGACGACGCGACCUGAAGGAGUGAUAGCACAGAGUGGUAUGAAAUCAGAACCGGCAGUGACUUUUUACUGCAGGAAUGUAGAGGUUCCCAGAAAGAAGAAUUAAAAACUGAUGGCUGGUGGGCAGAGAUGCAAGAGGGAAGAAAUGAGCAAAUUGUGUCCUUUUGUAUCAGUCUAUCUGUAAAUCCCUCCAUCCAUCCUUGAGAUCCAGCGGGCUGAGCCAGCCUAUUGAGGCAGAGAGAAAGGCAGGGGAAGACUUUCAAUCAGCAGCACUAUCAAAAUAAAUGCAUGCACUGUCCGUGUGAAGCGCCUCGUCUACUGUGCGCUCGGGUGAUGUUUAAUGAAACAAACAACAACACGCCCACCCGCAAUGGAUACCAUCUUCCUGCGCAGCAGUUGUCCUGAGAUGACUGGUGCCAGACUGGGGCGAGGAAAGAAAGAACAAAAGAAAGAAAGGAGAGAUGCCACCGAGUGCCAAGGGAACAGUCCAGCAUCGGCUCGCCAGAUCAAUAGGCAACAUCAGAGGAGGAAAUAGGAGGCCCAGAGCAGAUGACGCCUGCUGCAUGCCUCCAGAUGAUUAAGAACACACCAAGAGGACGAGGUGGGGGAGGUGCACAACUGAUGGUGCAACACUGCCCCCAUGUGAGAGAAUCCAGAGGCAGUACAGCAGCUCAUCCCAAGCAAUGCUGAGUUUGUCAGAGCACCGUUACAUGCAUCUUUCAAACCUACUGCAGAGAGUCAUUCAAUUUUAUGAGCAAGGGUUUACGUGGCUUUCAGCCUGGAUCCUCUUCGAGCUUAAAUCCCCAUGUCUCCAACCUUUGACACUUCCCCUCCUUGUUUACGGCCAGAAAAACUGUGCCAGUGAUUUUCUUGUCAGUCAGCAAAAUAAAAGCAGUAGAAAUACCAGCAGUGUGUGAGGGCAAGAGUCGGAGAGGACAGACAACACUCACAGGUUAUUAUACAAGGUCUGCAAACAUCUUUUCCACCUUAAGAGUUACCUGUGGAGGAAAGGAUGAGGUGGAUGUUUUUUUUGGAUGGCAGAGACGGGCAGAAAAGUGGCUGUGAAGACUGUUAAUGUUAUUCAGAUCCUCCUGACCUUUCCGGUGGCAUGUUUGCUGGCUUCUUUGAAAAGGGCAACCAUAAAAAAUAAGAGCAAGACUUUUCACACAGGCUGAAUGCAGAAGGCAAAACACCUCUGAAAUGCUGACAGUGUUUGCAACGCAUGUAGACUGAUUUAAACACUGAUACUCACUACUCCAGUUGGAGAGUCAAAGUAAGAGCAAACCACAAAGGGAUGCAAUAUUUUAGCGAUCAGUACCAAGGAUAUGUGACCCAAAUAUCUACAGAAAGGAUGACAAUUACCACAAGAUCUCCAUAACUGAGGCUCUAGAACCUCCCAAAUAAAGGCUCACAGCUCGGUCUACUACGAGAAGCAUGGCCACUUCUAAGACCUGAGUGUGCUCACAGAUGGAGGGGAAGCUCUCCAUCCCUUCAUGCUUUUGGAUGCAAAA